rnacentral:lncRNA from 1 species
UCUAUUCUUUUAGAUAAUUUUUAUUAUAAUCUUAAUUUCAUAUUUUUUUCCUUUCACAUAAUUUCAUUUAAAUGAUAUACUACAAAUUUGGAAAAAUGUAAAGGUAUGAAAAAUUAUAAAGUCAUUAGGCCUUAUAUGGAGGCAACUAGGCCCAUAAACUAAUGGUACCUUAACCUUAGAAUGGGACUUUUUCAGAAAUCAAAUUUUUCAUAAGCCAAUUUUCCUUUCUCUCUAGAAACCCUUUUUCCCUAAAUUCUCUCUGCCUUCUCUCUAGAUUUCCAGCUAAUUGAACCGUUCAAUCUUGGAUUUGAAGGUGCUCAAGCGUUCACCACACCGAAAGCUUUCUUUUGAUCCGAUUAUAUUUUCGAUUGGAUCAGUAAGUAAUUUUCUCCUCUUCUCCGCUGUUUCGCAACUUAGGGAAUGCCUUUUUCGGGUAGCAGACAACUAGGAGCGUUCUUCUUUUUAUUCUUGUUUAAAGCUUAGCUCUAAGAGCUUAUUCCUCCACUAUUUCGGUGAUAUAUAGGUACUGUAAAUUCCUGUGUUGCAUAAAGUUGUUGUGAGAGCGUCUCUUGUGAACUGUACUGUGAGAAACCAAGGUAAGGGGAGCUACUUAUACUUUUAUUUUAUUUGUUGCGAAGUGACUGUUUGAGAAAUCUGAAUUACNAUGUGAAUUUAAACUGUAUUUUGGUUCUACACAUCCCGUUUGGUAAGAACUGAUGAAUCUGUUUUGAGUGAUUAUGCAUGUUGAAUUAAAUAUGUGAUAUAUUGUGAGCAUGUGUUGUUACUGUCCUUAAGUGUUUAACUUAGUAUGCGCUGAAUUUGACUGAAAUGAUGAUCCUGGGAAUGAUUCCUGUUUAUAUAUUGAUUGUGAUAUGCUCCGAAGGAAUUUGAUGAAUCUGGUUGCUGGAAUAAGUCGGGGGUAAUACUGAUUUGAUGGGAAAAAUGGGUUGAGUGUAGCCUCAGGUUCUGUGAGAGGGGAUGUAUAACUUUGGGAAUCAGGGAACUAAAAAUAAUAGGCUAGUUAUAUAACCAGCAAGGAAAUUGGGUUGUGUUGGGUUGGGAAAAGAGGGAGCAUUGUAAGCUAUUUGGAUGGUGAUUUUGUGCAUUUGGGGUAAUAAGUGCAUUUGGUCUGUUCUGGCAGUUUAGACAAGUCAGUUGUGACUUGUUAAACAAAUAAAAUUGAACAAAAACACAUUAAAAAUGACAGAAUUGAGUUAGAGUCCAUAAGUCAUAGGAUGCGAUGUUUUGAAGUUAAAUUCAAGCCUAAACAACUCUAAAAGCACUAUAUUAACAUAAUACGAAACGUAUGAUACAUAUAUAUAUAUAUAUACAUAUAUAUAUAUAUAUAUAUAUAUAUAUUAAUAUAAUAUGGAAAUAUAAGUUAGGAAAGAAUGAUAUAUAUUAUAUUAAUAUAAUAGGGAUAUAUAUAAGAUGCAGGAAAGUCCUUAUGAUAUAAAUUGUUAUCAUAAUAUUUAUAUAUAAAAGAAAGUAUGAAAUAUGUUAUAUUAAUAUAUUACAUAUAAGAGAUGCAAGANAGUAAAUAUGAUAAUAAAUUAUAUUAAAAUAAUAUUGUUUCAUAGAAAAUUAGUAAUAAAGAUUAGGUAUGAUAUCAAAUUUUACCAGUUGGAAAUGUAUUAUUUUACAAGAAAUUUUAGAGUUUUNUAGAGUGAUUGAGAUAUGACAGUAUUGUAUAUUUGAGGUGAUUGGAAGUGGUUGUGGAACAUGUUCUAGUACAUAUGACUUUAUCUUUAAAGCUUAAACAUGUGGUUUAAUUGUAAAAAUCUCUCGGUGAGAUCCUUAGUGUUUUAAAAUGAAAGUAGGAGCUCAGUUUUGGGGGUCAUCCUGACGCUCCAAUGGCCAAUCAUGUCACUUAGAGAGAUCGGACCAUGUGGUGAGGAGUAGCAGGAGGUCUUUAGUCUUGGGGGCUUCCAGUAUGCCUCAAGGCCCGGAACGGACUAACCUCGUGAGUGUGGCAGGGUGGGGAACCCAAGUUUCAUAAAUCACCAUGAGUGCAAGACCCGCCAUAGCUCGACUUUCGUUUUAAAGUCCGGACAAGUCAAGUCUAGAAAUUAAAAUGCUUAGGUUGUGUUUCUGAAAUUGUUGGAUAUAAGUUAUUUCUUGUAUGUUACAUGCUUAAUCUGAUGCAUGAUUUUAUAUAAUUAGCUCACCCUUGCAAUUGUUUGCUUGCUUGUGUUGUGCCAUGUUGCGUGUGCUGCCCUGUUGCGAUGAUCAUCCAUUCUGGAUGUGAGCAGAGGAGAAUGAGGUGUCAGUGGGGGAUGUCUUGGAGGAAAAUGGAGAUGUUGCUGCCUAGUUCUUUAGGCUUUAAUUAUCUUAUCCUAGGAUAUUUUGAAGAUACUUUGUCAUGUUCUAAGUUUUAAAUUCUUUGUAAUUUAAAGGAGAAACUCUAGUACUCCAAGUUUCCAAAUUGUACUGUUUAAGGAUGACUGUAAUCCUAUUACUCUUAACUGCUUUCUAGUAUUAUUCAUACUGACGCCUUUAUUGUAUUAUAUAUUUUUAUAAUAUAAUUGGGAUGUCACAAAAA